UGGGAUCGGGUCACGCAGCAGAACCCGUGGAACCCGCUGUUAGUCACGCUCGUUAACCGACAGAGCUCAGCGAGACAUUUCGUUGGCAAAGGUCCUGAGAUCUUCCGCCCAAAAAGUGAGACGAACAAAAAGACAGAUAAAAGUCCCCGGGAGAGUUCCAACUUCUUGGGUUUCACAGUUGGAAAUUUUAGGUAUACAAUUACACGUUACGUACCGUAACAAAAGUAAAAUUACUGGUCCAGCCUCGCGUGCCGAAGACAGCGAUGCAUGCGUCUCUCUCGCACUCGCGUGACGAAGGGAGGAAAAAAAUUGUUUAUCAACCACCAAUCAAAAUCAAUCAAAAUACUAUGCUGUUUUCUCUGAUCGUCUGUUAUAUGUGACAAUGAUAGGGCAACGUGUGUACAAUGCCUAAAGGCCAUCGUCUCCCAUAAAAUGAUUGUACAAGUGUGUGCUCGGCUUCCCCAUGUCGGGGAAGUCAACCGCAUUGACGGAACCAGAUGGGAUACGUAGCGGCUGUUUAGUAUGCGCGGCAAAGUCUCUGGCGAU